GCAGUUGUGGCCGAGUGGUUAAGGCGUUAGACUCGAAAUCUAAUGGGCUAUGCCCGCGCAGGUUCGAAUCCUGCCGACUGCG
rnacentral:tRNA from 1 species